CGGCGGACGGGUGAGUAACGCGUGGGUAACCUACCCUGUACACACGGAUAACAUACCGAAAGGUGUGCUAAUACGGGAUAAUAUAUUUGAGAGGCAUCUCUUAAAUAUCAAAGGUGAGCCAGUACAGGAUGGACCCGCGUCUGAUUAGCUAGUUGGUAAGGUAACGGCUUACCAAGGCGACGAUCAGUAGCCGACCUGAGAGGGUGAUCGGCCACAUUGGAACUGAGACACGGUCCAA
rnacentral:rRNA from 1 species